rnacentral:rRNA from 1 species
UAAUAAGGUAACCAUGUCGUAACAAGGUAACCAAGUCGUAACAAGGUACCCAGGUCGUAACAAGGUAACCAGUAGAGUUUGAUCCUGGCCAAGUCGUAACAAGGGUAACCGUAGGCCCGCACAAGCGGUGGAGUAUGUGGUUUAAUUCGAUGCAACGCGCAGAACCUUACCUGGCCUUGACAUGUCGAGAACUUUCCAGAGAUGGAUUGGUGCCUUCGGGAACUCGAACACAGGUGCUGCAUGGCUGUCGUCAGCUCGUGUCGUGAGAUGUUGGGUUAAGUCCCGCAACGAGCGCAACCCUUGUCCUUAGUUGCCAGCACGUAAUGGUGGGAACUCUAAGGAGACCGCCGGUGACAAACCGGAGGAAGGUGGGGAUGACGUCAAGUCCUCAUGGCCCUUACGGGUUGGGCUACACACGUGCUACAAUGGCGGUGACAAUGGGCAGCUACUUCGCAAGGAGAUGCUAAUCCCAAAAAACCGUCUCAGUUCAGAUUGCACUCUGCAACUCGGGUGCAUGAAUCUGGAAUCGCUAGUAAUCUCUAAUCAGCAGGUAGCGGUGAAUACGUUCCAGGGCAUUGUACACACC